GGUGAGCAAAAGAAAGGACAGAGAAGAAGCAAGAGGAGGACAACCAGAAGAAAGGAGAGGAGAGCGGUACUUGCGGUGUGGCGGUACCUACACCGGAAGUUCGUGGGUAAGGGGGAGGCAGGGGAGAGAUGGAGGUACAGCGGCACGCAGGAGUGGUGGUGGAGGGCGUUUCGGGCACAACUCCGCUGCUGCUCGAUGAGACGCGGGGGGAGGGGACACUCGAACUCCGCUGCCGCGAGUGUGUGGCCGCUGUGGUAAAAAAACGUUCUGCGGUACGCCGAUACCGAAACAAAAAAUAUAAAUCGGUCAACGUUGAAAAACUAAACAGCCAAGGUCGAAAAAUAAAGCGGCCAACAUCGUUAAAAGUAGGUGCUCGUGGUUAGAAACUAAGUAACCAAGGUUGUAAAAAAGGGCAGCCAUCAUCGAAAAGUGCAGCGACCAAGGUUGAAAACUAAAGCGGCCAGCGUUGUUAGGGUGAAAGCUGUCAUCGUUGAAAAACUCAGUAUCCAACAUCGUGAAAUAAAGCAGACAUCAUGGAAAAACGACCUCCUUCCCCUAGCUACUUCAAAAAAAACGAUGUUGGUACAUCGUGUCUUCGAAGUUGGUACGCACGGUCUCGACGUUUGGUACCAUGUGGUCUCGAUGCUGGCCUCUGCGGGUAGUGGCCGUUCCGACGUUGGCCGUGCUCCGUCACGAUGUUGGUCACAAGUCGCUCGACGUUCGCUGUGUUGCUGUUCGAAGUUUGGACUACCCAGUGGUACGGCCGCUACCGCUGGUACGGACGCUCCCCUCGACGUUGGUACCGCUCAACGACCUUGGCAGAAAAUAAAAACGAUGCCGGUUUAAAAAACGAUACGAGGCCACCGCUUCCAGGUACCAAAAACGACCUUGGAUGGUUGAAAAAACGACCUUGGCCGAUUUUAAAACGAAGUUGACUGAAAAAAACAAAAGAAUCAACGCCGCUCACCACCGCUCGAUACCGCUGCCUGCACCCCCGCCACUGGUACGGCCGCCACCCGUCGUGGCCGCUCCCUGCCACAACGUCAGCUGCGGCACCUCGAUGGUACCUACGUUGUGCCUCCGUUCUGUUUUCCGACGAUACCAGUUGCUGGAAAAACAACUCUCGCCGCUGCCGCUCGUAGCCGUCACUCGCACACGCCGCUCCGUUUACCCGCACCAAGCCGCUCGCGCCCAGUAGCCGCCGACUCCUGCUCGCCCCGCAACCAGAGGGGAAAAAGAUAAAAAUAGGAGACGAGAAAACAAGAAGUCGCAAAACACAUUCCGGCUUAGCAUGCCAAAUAUUUUCGAUAUAGCACACCGGGUGCGUCCUGGCCGGCUUUGAUUAAAACCGGCCGCGUGGCCGCGUCUCACCGCGGGUAAUCGAUCUCGGUUCUGUGUGACUCAGACGUCUUUUAUUUUAUUAUUUGGCUUCGUGUUACUAUUCUUACCUUCGUUUUUUACCAUUAUCCGGUUAUCGUAUAGAAUCAAAUUC
rnacentral:rRNA from 1 species